CUGGCGACCGGCGCACGGGUGAGUAACACGUAUCCAACCUGCCGAUAACUCGGGGAUAGCCUUUCGAAAGAAAGAUUAAUACCCGAUAGUAUAAUCAGACCGCAUGGUUUGAUUAUUAAAGAAUUUCGGUUAUCGAUGGGGAUGCGUUCCAUUAGGCAGUUGGUGAGGUAACGGCUCACCAAACCUUCGAUGGAUAGGGGUUCUGAGAGGAAGGUCCCCCACAUUGGAACUGAGACACGGUCCAG
rnacentral:rRNA from 1 species